GACGAACCGUACAAACGUUAUUCGGAAUCACUGGGCUUAAAGGGUGCGUAGGCGGCGUGGUAAGUCAGAUGUGAAAUCCCUCGGCUCAACCGAGGAACUGCGUUUGAUACUGCCGUGCUAGAGGAAGAUAGAGGUGAGCGGAACUUAGGGUGGAGCGGUGAAAUGCGUUGAUAUCCUAAGGAACACCUGUGGCGAAAGCGGCUCACUGGGUCUUUUCUGACGCUGAGGCACGAAAGCUAGGGGAGCAAACGGG
rnacentral:rRNA from 1 species